GAUGAACGCUGGCGGCGUGCUUAACACAUGCAAGUCGAACGAAGCACUCUAUUUGAUUUUCUUCGGAAUUGAAGAUUUUGUGACUGAGUGGCGGACGGGUGAGUAACGCGUGGGUAACCUGCCUCAUACAGGGGGAUAACAGUUGGAAACGACUGCUAAUACCGCAUAAGCGCACGGUAUUGCAUGAUACAGUGUGAAAAACUCCGGUGGUAUGAGAUGGACCCGCGUCUGAUUAGCUAGUUGGUGGGGUAACGGCCUACCAAGGCGACGAUCAGUAGCCGACCUGAGAGGGUGACCGGCCACAUUGGGACUGAGACACGGCCCAAACUCCUACGGGAGGCAGCAGUGGGGAAUAUUGCACAAUGGGGGAAACCUUGAUGCAGCGACGCCGCGUGAACGAAGAAGUAUUUCGGUAUGUAAAGUUCUAUCAGCAGGGAAGAUAAUGACGGUACCUGACUAAGAAGCACCGGCUAAAUACGUGCCAGCCGCCGCGGUAA
rnacentral:rRNA from 1 species